UCUGUGGUCCAGUGGUUGAGUGUUGGGCUAACGGUCCGGAGGUCCCGGGUUCGAAUCCCGGUGGGGACAUAUCACAAAAUUCACUUUGUGAUCCCUAGUUCUGUUAGGACAUUACAGGCUGAUCACGUGAUUGUCCGAAACACGCCCCACGAGAACAAAGAAACGCAGAAAGGCUUCAAUCACACUCCAUACCACAGUUGGAAUAUAGUCUAAUGGAUCGUUUGGCCGCCACAAAACGACAAUUACAAGAAUCUGCAAAUCCAUAACUAACAAAGUAAUUGCAACGAAUGAUAGGUCCUCAGCCCGACCGGGAGCUCAUCGAACUAUUGCGUGGUUUUAAAGCUAUUAAGAAGCAAUAAACGGUGCUGUUACAAUCAGAAACGCAUAAAGACGCUUGCACCUCUGUCAUUACGCUGACAACAAAAAAAAUCGUAAUCGAUCCAAGGCAAUUGGAGUUUGAAGAAUAGCAAGUUUCAUAAAACAUUAAUACUUAAUAUGUAGAACUGCUCAGGUAUUAUUUGCGGGCAAAUAAAAUCAAUAAAAUUGAUUUACUAUGAAUAAUCAAAGAACUUCAGCUAUACAAAUGUACCUAUCUACGGUCACGAGGACUAAUAUGUAUACACUUUGCAACCAUGACACAUUAACUUUUUUGACAAAUCAAACCGUAAUCCUCAUUAAAUGUCAAAUAAGAUAGUGCGACAGGGUUCUAAAGUGGGUACAUGAUAUUGCUCAUGACUGUACCUAUUUACAUAAGAAAAUAGUCAUUUGGUGACCAUAGCUGUUUGCUUCAAUACGCUACUUGACAACCUAGUCAAAAUG